GCCCAGAAGGGUCUAGAGCUCCAGGCCCCUCAGAGGAGUGACCGCGAACACGUUUUCUAACCUCUCUGAGCACUGGGUCCCAUCUUUCAAAUGAUCUGAUUACAAACCAAUGGGCAGAUGCGACGGGUCUGCUGCUUUUUUUUUUUUAAGAGGUAAUUGCUAGGUUCAGUGCAGUGGCUAGCACCGUGUCACAACUACACACACACACACACAUACACACACACACACACACACACACACACACGGGUCUGGGCAGGGAAACACCGCUGCGUGGCGAGCAAUGGCGUGCUUUUGUGUGAACAUAUGGCCGGGCCAGAAGCGGGGGUAUGCUGUGGUCGCUCUCGGGAACCCCCAGGUCUACACUGCUGACGCCCCAGACGUCACAAGAAGACCGUGCCUCGGGCGCUGCACCUAGCGGUCUCUGACCAGCACGUGCGCGGAGGCCCCUCCAGGAGCUUCUGGCGGUUUUAUGCUCUCACACCACUCUAGAUCCGUGACACGCGUUCGUCUCUGUGGCAAAUGAACAUCGAGUUGUUGGGCCGCUGGGUGCCAGCCGGCAUCGAACGCGCUGUCCUCCCCCCACCGGGCUGACGUGCAGCUUUGCUGAGCCCAGUUCUCCAUAGUGGGGUCUAUUCUGCGCCCCGCGCUCAGCCUUCCGAUCCGCUUCCCUCUCCCGUUGUCAGCACCGCACGGUCCGGGUUCCCGCAGUCGGUAACGAGUCUAGAGCUCACGUGGACUGGCCCCUCCGUCUUCGUUCUCCUUCUCCUCAGAGUUCUUUUGGUUUUUCUCACACCCUCUCAUUGCCACAAUCGGCAUGGAUUUUGUAAUCACCGCAGCGAGUUCUGUUAAGAGAAGGAGUUCCUGAGGUUUAGAUCUGCUGGGCACUGCGUCCAGAGGCCAACUUAGGAAGAGCCGUCCGCUGACCGGCGUCGGGAUCUCGACCCCUUGACAAGAUACGCACCUCAGGGCGCCUGAGUGGCUCAGUCGGUUGAGCGCCUGACUUCGGCUCAGGUCACGACCUCACGGUUCGUGAGUUCAAGUCCCGCGUCGGUCUCUGUGCUGACGGCUCGGAACCUGGAGCCUGCUUCGGAUUCUCUGUCUCCCUCUCUCUGCCCCUCCGUGACUAGUGCUCUGUCUCCCUCGGUCUCUCAAAAAUAAAUAAAUGUAAA
rnacentral:lncRNA from 1 species